AUUGAACGCUGGCGGCAGGCCUAACACAUGCCAGUCGAGCGGAUGAAGGGAGCUUGCUCCUGGAUUCAGCGGCGGACGGGUGAGUAAUGCCUAGGAAUCUGCCUGGUAGUGGGGGAUAACGUCCGGAAACGGGCGCUAAUACCGCAUACGUCCUGAGGGAGAAAGUGGGGGAUCUUCGGACCUCACGCUAUCAGAUGAGCCUAGGUCGGAUUAGCUAGUUGGUGGGGUAAAGGCCUACCAAGGCGACGAUCCGUAACUGGUCUGAGAGGAUGAUCAGUCACACUGGAACUGAGACACGGUCCAGACUCCUACGGGAGGCAGCAGAGGGGAAUAUUGGACAAUGGGCGAAAGCCUGAUCCAGCCAUGCCGCGUGUGUGAAGAAGGUCUUCGGAUUGUAAAGCACUUUAAGUUGGGAGGAAGGGCAGUAAGUUAAUACCUUGCUGUUUUGACGUUACCAACAGAAUAAGCACCGGCUAACUUCGUG
rnacentral:rRNA from 1 species